rnacentral:rRNA from 1 species
GAUGAACGCUGGCGGCGUGCCUAAUACAUGCAAGUCGAGCGAACGGACGAGAAGCUUGCUUCUCUGAUGUUAGCGGCGGACGGGUGAGUAACACGUGGACAACCUACCUAUAAGACUGGGAUAACUUCGGGAAACCGGAGCUAAUACCGGAUAAUAUUUUGAACCGCAUGGUUCAAAAGUAAAAGACGGUCUUGCUGUCACUUAUAGAUGGAUCCGCGCUGCAUUAGCUAGUUGGUAAGGUAACGGCUUACCAAGGCAACGAUGCAUAGCCGACCUGAGAGGGUGAUCGGCCAUACUGGAACUGAGACACGGUCCAGACUACUACGGGAGGCAGCAGUAGGGAAUCUUCCGCAAUGGGCGAAAGCCUGACGGAGCAACGCCGCGUGAGUGAUGAAGGUCUUCGGAUCGUAAAACUCUGUUAUUAGGGAAGAACAUAUGUGUAAGUAACUGUGCACAUCUUGACGGUACCUAAUCAGAAAGCCACGGCUAACUACGUG